GCAGUUCUCCUCCCCGACCCCUUGUGUUUAUGUUCUCAUCCCUCCCUGUGUCUCCUGUUAGUCUGUCUGUCUCUCUGUGUUGUCUGGGCGUGGCUUCUCACUCUGGGCCUGGCGCUCCACCUCCACCUGCACACCUGAUCCACAUUCCACUAAUCAAGACUCUGCAGUAUAUCAACCCGUUUCUUCACCUCACCUCAGUGGAUCACUGCCUGCCUGGAGAUUUUGCCCCUGCCUCACUCAGCUCACUGCCCGCCUGGAAAUCCACUCGCUGGUCUCCAUUCCCUGGUCUGCCCGCUGGUCUGCUCCGCUCUCACAACCCGUUUUUCAAUAAACUUUAAGUUCCUGGAUUUAAACCUG